rnacentral:pre_miRNA from 1 species
GCCACGGGGGAACGCCGCUACGUUGCUUUCACUUGGUGUGCACUCGUAUGAAGCCGAAGGCAAACAUAGAUCCAUGUGAUGUGACGUAGUGGUACCCUCCCGUGU